rnacentral:tRNA from 3 species
GCGCCUGUGGCUCAACUGGAUAGAGCAUCUGACUACGGAUCAGAAGGUUGGGGGUUCGAAUCCUCCCAGGCGCACCA